rnacentral:rRNA from 1 species
UACGUAGGGUGCGAGCGUUGUCCGGAAUUACUGGGCGUAAAGAGCUCGUAGGUGGUUUGUCGCGUUGUUCGUGAAAACCUGAGGCUUAACCUUGGGCGUGCGGGCGAUACGGGCAGACUGGAGUACUGCAGGGGAGACUGGAAUUCCUGGUGUAGCGGUGGAAUGCGCAGAUAUCAGGAGGAACACCGGUGGCGAAGGCGGCUAUCUGGACAGAGUCUGACGCUGAGGCGCGAAAGCUAGGGGAGCAAACGGG